rnacentral:lncRNA from 1 species
GGUGAACCCUGAAAUGUAGUCUCCUCUUAAAGUUAUCAGCAGGAAUCAGGGUAGGAUUCCUUCUGGGAUUCUCCAUUCUCCAUUCUCCAGGGCUUAUUCUUGAGCUAACUGUAAUUUUGCAUCUUGAGCAUGAUGACGUUGUGUGUGUUGCUAAGCAGAUUGAUGAAGACUCUGCCAUCUUCAAGGCAGAUGGUUGAAGAUGGUUCCCAAGGUCACCAUGGCCCGUGAUGUGAAGCCAGAAAAGGAGCAGAGUACAGAUGCCUGGAUCUCCCACUCACCAAAAUCUUCUUCAAUCAGACUCUCUUUCUUGGAUUUCAUGGGUGGAAAGACCCUGGCCAGCUCCCUGGGGUGGUUCAUCACACCCAAGUCUUUCCUGAUGAACUUGCCUCAAGUCUUUGAAGACACAUUUAACACAUCACAUCACCCUUGUUAUACUGUGCUAAUGCUUGACUGCUGAGAAAUCUUGAUGCUGGAUGAUCUCACAUUCUACUUUCUUCAAGAAUCUUCACAAACUUAAACAAUUGGGAAUGGGUGUGUGUGUGUGUGUGUGUGUGUGUGUGUGUGUGUGUGUGUGUCUAUGUAUGUCCUUUCUUCCUCUGGCAAUCAUGAGCCUAUUUCCCAGAGCCCAUUGAAGUACCUACUACAUUCCCAUAGUAACUAUAUUUCCAGAAUGUUCCUGGUCCAAAUCAGAUUUGAGAUUGCCUCUGGUUCAUCCCUACACGGCUCCUGCCUUUGGUAGAGGUGCUCUGGGCAAUAUGAUGCUCAACAAAUAUUAUCUCCCUAUGCCUAAAGCCCAAAAUCACCACUGCCAUUCUAAGUUGUCAAUAUAACAUGUAAGAAACAUUCAUUAAAUGUUGUAAGUUGAAAGUGUUUAUUUACCUCCACUGUGUGCCAAAUGCCACAAAAUUUAUAGUAUGGAGAAAAAAUACAUAAAUCCUUG